UGAAGCAAAACCUGAGUUUGAACCUCAGCUUGGUCAAUUAGAAGCUAUGACUUAGGUCAUAGUAUUUAAAGUUUUGAAUCUCAGAUUCAUCAUUGGCAUGUUAGACUUAUGUGGAAUAAUUUUUUAGAACAUUCAUAACAGCUCUGGGCACAUAGUAGGCAAUAACUAGGAUUAGUAAUAUAACUACAGUGUAAUUCCUGUGUGAUUACUAACUUCCUCAAUUACCUCUUUAGGAAUCUAUUUAAUAAACGCUAUAAACACUAUGUAUAAGUAUACCUUGAUAGGCAUGGUAAGUCAAACAUGGACAAGUCAGCACUCCUGCCAUCUUAGAGGAAUGACAUGUAACUAAUUAUCUACAAUAUGAUGAAACACACAUUAUCAUUAGAGGUAAAGUUUACAGUCCAAACCUGGAAACCAAAGGAAAUAUUUUCACAGAUGCUACUGGAGGUGAUACUAGGGAGAAAAGAAUUUUCCUUAGUUUGAGCUGCUGUAUCAAAACUACCAUAAAUUAGGUGGGGGCACUGUUAUUUCUUACAGCUCUAGGGACUGGGAUGUCCAAGAUCAGGCUCUAGCAGAUUCAAGGUUUGGUAAGAACCUAUCUCAUUGUUCAAAGUCCCAUCUUUUCACUGUGUCUUCAUAUGGUAAAUUGGCGGGUGGAGGUGGUUAAGGAAGGAUCUCACUAGAGUCUCCUUUAUAAGGGCACUAAUCUCAUUAACAAGCAGUCCACUCUUAUGACCUAAUCACCUCUUGAAGGCCCCACCUUUAAAUACUAUCACUUCAGGGCUUAGGUUUCAACAUAUGCAUUUGGAGGGGACACAAGCAUUCACUAUAUAACUGAAUAUUUGAGUAGGAGCUUGAAGAAUUAGAGAAUUUUGAAAUGGAGUGUGGUAAUGAUAUUUCAGAGAAGAUAUGACUAGCAGUAUAGCGAAAAAUAGGAGUGUGUCAGAAGAUUUGAGAUAAGGACAGGGAUGGUAUCAAGGGUCCUUUAAUAUGGUAGACUAUUCAAUCCCCUGUAACACAGGGAAGUUCAGGUCUCAUUGCAGGAAAUUUAUACUCAAGUAUUCAUCUUCAUCUGAAGUACAGCUCCCAUAAUGCAUUCUAGCAUCUUUAAAUCCAGGGUCACUCUGUCUUGGUUUGCCUGGGACAAAUCCUCAUUUGCAAAUGCUGGCCCAGCUUAAUUAUUAACAGAACCUUAUUUCAUUCUCAAAAGGGUCUCAUUCUGGGAUGAUAAAUUACAAGUACAUUCUACUCAAAUCUAAUAGCAACAUUAGGCAUAUUCAAAAUACAAAGAGAUUUAAUUUUACUACAUGCAUGCCCUGCUCCCUGAGCCUUUUUAUUUCACUACUUAUUCUUCCAAAGGGAUUCUUUUUAAAAAGCAAACAAAUGUUAUGUCAUUUUUUAAAGAAACACUGUGUAGGUUCAUAAUCUAUAAAUCAAAACUGCUCAGGUAAAAGGCUCUUCCUUUUAUAAAGCAUUAGCAGUAAUCAGCAUAAAAAAUAGCAACUUAAUCAUCAUGCAGAUAGAAUCUGGUAAUUAUAAAGGAUUUCAGUGUCAUAUACUUAGAAAAUAAUAUCCUCACAAAUUAAAUCAAGUGAGGUAAAAGAACAAGCUAGUUGAUGGCAAAAUGGAAAGUUUACCCAUGGAGCCAAGUACCCAAAUUUGAGUGGAUAAAACUAAGCUGUCUGAUUGAAGGUGAGUGAAUAUGAACAUUGGCUAAAAGUUAGGAGGGCAUGGGUAAUAGUAAUUAUACACAAUAGAAUUAUUGCCCACUGAGUACUGAUUUCACUUGACUGUCAGCCACUUUAAUGCUUAGGCGAUAAUAACAAUACGUCAUUAAGAGUAUUGUAAAUCACUUCAAGGGACAAAUAUGAAAACUCUAGGGAUGAACAAUGCCCAAGUGUUGGUACCUUGAUGAAGCAGAAUAAAUACAUAGGCUUCUUUUAUAGAACAAGUGAGACGAAAAUAUAAGUACAGUGCUUUAUAUUUGGUGAGGCAUCCUCAAUCUUUCCAUUUUUUAUGCCUCAGAAAUAUGUUAAAUAUUUUUUAAGAUUUGUUGAUGAGUUCCCCCUAGGGUGAAAAUCUAGUAGAUGAGCAGGAGAAACAAUUUGACUCCAUCAUCCCCCCACCCCUUUCUUCUGCACAGUGACAAACCAUCUGUUUAGGAGCUGCCUUCUUCCUCUCAUCACAGAAGCAGACAAUGAUUCACACAGGGACAGUGCAAGCACAUGAGGUUUGCAAGGUGGCUUUUUAUUCCCCUGGUAAAGAUGGGGUGACUCAAACAUUGCCUCUCAUAAUAGUAAGUCUAUCUCCUGUGAUCUUUAGUCCCUUAGGAAUAUAACUAAAGAAACUCAGAAAGAGUCAUAUUCGGUAUCUUGAAGCAGAUUAUUAUGAAUAAAUUUGGAGGUACUUGUUUUUUUGAUGAAAAUAUUAAUUUAAGAAUUUGCAGGAAUAGGUUCAGGGACAAUUAUUCAGACCAUCCUCUGCCAUCAGUUGAGGUAGCCAUUGGUUCUACGUGGCUAUUUAGAUUUCAAUUAAUUAAAAUUCAGUUCCUUAGUCACAGUAGGUACAUUUAAAUAUUCAGUAGCUACAUGUGGCCAGAGGCUACCAUGUUAGAGAGCACAGCUAUAGAACAUUUCCAUCAUUGAAGAAAGUUCUAUUGCAAAGCACUGGCUGAGCACAUCAUUUUCAUUUCCUUUUUUAUCGAUUUGAUGGGGACAGUUGUACAUGGAUGACAUGCCAGCUAAUCCACUUAGAAUCAGUCAUGUGUUUCAAUGGAUAAUUCAUGUGACCAUAAAAAGUGAAAUUCUACAACUUAUACAUUUAGUCUAAUUUAUUCAGUUCAUGUCGAAUCAAGCUAAACUUAAGAGAGUUGCUGGUAUCAUUUUGUAAUCAGCUAAAUUUAAAUGAUAGAAACUAUUUUUGUGAAACUUUUUUUCCCUGACUCAUUUUCCACCAAAGUGGUUCUAUGUAUAGAUAGCGGAGAGAUGACCAUAUGCUAGGUAUAAAUAUUGAUAGUUCUAUGAUAUCAGUAUACCUUAUAAUGCGGUAAUAUUUGAUAAUGAACAAUAGAAAUAUAUCUAACUUUAUAAAAUUAACUUUGAAGUUUUCAUGGUUUUAUUUUUUCUUGUUGUUUGAUUAAAAUGCUCUAUUAUACCUAUGUUAACCCUUCCUUUUUGACAAUUAUAAAUCCCAUUACAUAAGCUAACAUUAAUACUAUAUUAUCAUUUAUAUGUAAAUUUACAUGGCAUAAAGCACAGAAAAUUAAAAAAACAAAAGUCUUUCUGAUUGGUGUAAUUUUCUCUGGGACAGUUCAAAUGAAACUUUCAAGAAUAGUCUAUAAUGUAAAAGAAUAAUAUACAGCUUUUAUUUGCUUAUAAUUUACCAAAUAUAAAAACAUUCCCAAAAUAAUUUUAUAAAUGAGGGAGGAGUAAGCUAGAAAUUGAACACUUGCAUGUAAAUAAGGCCUGCCUAUGAGUAAGUAUGACUUAACUUUGGUUUACAAAUUAGCCCUCAGCAGAGGCCACAAAGGAUCGAAGCUUUAGAAAUGUAUGGAAACAUGAUGUUUUUCUACUGCAGGUGUCUUGAGGCACACAGGAUGAUUGCUAGAGCAAAUCCGAUCAGAUUUAUGCAUGGAACAUACUGUAUUAAUAAAACUGUUUUAUUGAAUUUUCCAGGUGGCUUCUUGUACAUAAAACUAUAUUUGUGAAACUGAUAUACUAUUUUUCCAAAUUCUUUAUGCCACAAUAUUGUCUACCUUAUGUGUUGUUUCUAAAAUUUAAUUGUUGCAUGUUUUUGUGAAGUUUUAAUUACAGUUCAUUUAAAUUGUGAUGAUCUUCUAAAAAUAGAAAAGCUAUAGACCAUCUUUGAUCUUGUUGCUCUUCCUCUUAAUACUGUAUACAUAGUCCAACAUAUUAGUCUCUACCUUUGUAGAAAAGUUAGGUCUCAUAUCUAUCAGAUUCGCUUCUCAGUGAUUUAUAUAACUUUUUAUAAUUUAAUACUUAGAAUAAUACCACAGGGAAGAUUUUGUAAGUCCUACUUAUAAUUAGGAAACUAAGAAUUAGGGAGGUAAAUCAAUUUGCCUAGUGUUUGUCCAUAAGUUAAAAGAAAAGGGAAAAAAAAGAGUUCAAAAUCUGAAUCUAAUUAGGACUGACAGCACAAUCACUUUUUUAUUUUUUUUUAUUUUUUUACCAAAACUCUAGAUUUCUUCCUUGCUUUAUGGUUGGUCUACUGUCUGCCUUUCUCUUUCAGUAUAUGACCUUGAAUCUUGUCCUUUUAGCACUUUUCAUUAUCAUAGUUAAAUGAUUGUUAUUGCAGUUAAUGGUUUAAUAUCUGCCUUCGUUGUCAAAAUGCAAUAUCGGAAAUCAUGGUAAAUGCUAAAUAUUUGUGAAAAAUAAAACCUUAAUGUUUGCUAAAUAUUUGUGGGGGAAAAAAAAGAAAAUCUAAAAGAUUGAGUGAUAAAGACUGAAGACAGGAAAGAAGGAAAGGAGGGAAGUAGGAAGAGGGAAUAAAGAACAUGGUUCAUAUUCUCCUGUAAACCAAAAGCUAGAUUAAACAAAUUAUGGAAAUUCAGAUGAAUGCUUUGAAGGCAUACAGGAAUAGAGGUUGGUGUACAAAACCUACACAGAAGGUGACAUUUAGACUGGUCCCAAAGGUUAAAUAGGAGGUAGUUCAGGUGAAAGUCAGCUGCCAGGAGCUCAGCCAGGACCUGCUGUGUUCCAUAGUUCAGGUAAAGAACUUUGGAUUUAUCAAUGACCACUUUUGUAUUUUUUAAAAUUUUCUUUGGUUUCAGUGUUUCAAAGAUACUUAAGGGGGCAAAGGUAGAUUUAUGCCUUAAGGAUCAAAGAAGGAAAAGUUUGUUAAGAUGGGGAGAAAUUUAUCAGUACAGUAGGAGAAAUUCUGGCAGAAGCUGGAGGGACACAUUGACUGCAAGAGCAGCCUUUUGGUGGAUGCCUGGAAUAACUACCCACACUUGUAUCUCUGGUCACUAUCCAUCCUCUAUUGAUGUUCCUUUGGCUGAACGCAGUAAGAAUACCAAGGGAAGGAGAGUUCUCUUGAGACUGUUUAUAGGGACCAGCCUCCUGAGCUCAAGGCAGGUAGAGAAGGGGAAAUUUCCAACACACCAUUAUAAAUUCUUCUUCUUGAAAGAUUGUGGCUUGACCUAAGACUUUUGGUCCUACUACUUAAACCCAAAGAUGCCAGAUCCUACGAAACCUGUUAUUUACACUGACUUACUUGCUUACUUAGGGGAUAUGAGUAAUACUCUUUCUGUCUAGAGUAAGAAUUGGAUAUUGUUUCUGUUUUUUUUUCACCUAACAAAAUUGAAAAAUUUUUCGCUAUUAAACAGUGCCAGCAAUCUCAUUUCCCAGUACAAAUGGAAUGCUUCACAAUUUGCUUCUUUCACACUUCGCUUAAUAGAAAUUUGUUUUUAAAAUAUUAUAGAAUCACAAGGUAUUCAGAUGUAUCCAAAAGAGUAUUGGUUUCUCAGUCGUUUAUUUUCAAAAGUAAGUAACCCCCAAGCCCCAAAUGAUCCCUUAUUUCUCUUGGCCACUGAUAAAGACUUAACUUUGUCCUAAAACUUCCACCAUUUGUCUUCAUGCAGAUCGUUCAAUUGUACAAGUAUAUAGAUUGACCACAUAAAUCAUCAGUGAGGUUCCCUGCAGGUUUACAGUUCUGUGGUUGUGUUUCCUGGAAGGUCAUCUAAUUGAAAACCACUGUUUGUUGCAGUGAACAGUUCAGGAUAUCAUCU
rnacentral:lncRNA from 1 species